ACGUAGGUGUCGAGCGUUGUCCGGAUUUAUUGGGCGUAAAGAGCCCGCAGGCGGCUUGCCAAGUUCGAGGUGAAAUCUCCCGGCUCAACCGGGAGGGUGCCUCGAAAACUGGCAGGCUUGAGGCAGGGAGAGGGAUGUGGAAUUCCCGGUGUAGUGGUGAAAUGCGUAGAGAUCCGGAGGAACACCAGAGGCGAAGGCGACACCCUGGGCCGUACCUGACGCUAAGACGCGACAGCACGGGGAGCGAACGG
rnacentral:rRNA from 1 species